UUAAGCGACUAAGCGUACACGGUGGAUGCCUAGGCAGUCAGAGGCGAUGAAGGGCGUGCUAAUCUGCGAUAAGCGUCGGUAAGCUGAUAUGAAGCGUUAUACCCGACGAUACCCGAAUGGGGAAACCCAGUGUGUUUCGACACACUAUCAUUACGUGAAUACAUAGCGUAAUGAGGCGAACCGGGGGAACUGAAACAUCUCAGUACCCCGAGGAAAAGAAAUCAACCGAGAUUCCCCUAGUAGCGGCGAGCGAACGGGGAGGAGCCCAGAACCUGAAUCAGUUUGUGUGUUAGUGGAAGCGUCUGGAAAGUCGCACAGUAAAGGGUGAUAGUCCCGUACACAAAAAUGCACAAAUUGUGAGUUCGAUGAGUAGGGCGGGACACGUGACAUCCUGUCUGAAUAUGGGGGGACCAUCCUCCAAGGCUAAAUACUCCUGACUGACCGAUAGUGAACCAGUACCGUGAGGGAAAGGCGAAAAGAACCCCGGCGAGGGGAGUGAAAUAGAACCUGAAACCGUGUACGUACAAGCAGUGGGAGCCUUGAUUAAUCAGGGUGACUGCGUACCUUUUGUAUAAUGGGUCAGCGACUUAUAUUCUGUAGCAAGGUUAACCGUAUAGGGGAGCCGUAGGGAAACCGAGUCUUAACUGGGCGUUAAGUUGCAGGGUAUAGACCCGAAACCCGGUGAUCUAGCCAUGGGCAGGUUGAAGGUUGGGUAACACUAACUGGAGGACCGAACCGACUAAUGUUGAAAAAUUAGCGGAUGACUUGUGGCUGGGGGUGAAAGGCCAAUCAAACCGGGAGAUAGCUGGUUCUCCCCGAAAGCUAUUUAGGUAGCGCCUCGUGAAUUCAUCUUCGGGGGUAGAGCACUGUUUCGGCUAGGGGGUCAUCCCGACUUACCAACCCGAUGCAAACUACGAAUACCGAAGAAUGUUAUCACGGGAGACACACGGCGGGUGCUAACGUUCGUCGUGAAGAGGGAAACAACCCAGACCGCCAGCUAAGGUCCCAAAGUCAUGGUUAAGUGGGAAACGAUGUGGGAAGGCACAGACAGCCAGGAUGUUGGCUUAGAAGCAGCCAUCAUUUAAAGAAAGCGUAAUAGCUCACUGGUCGAGUCGGCCUGCGCGGAAGAUGUAACGGGGCUAAACCAUGCACCGAAGCUGCGGCAGCGACACUUAGGUGUUGUUGGGUAGGGGAGCGUUCUGUAAGCCGUCGAAGGUGACCUGUGAGGGUUGCUGGAGGUAUCAGAAGUGCGAAUGCUGACAUAAGUAACGAUAAUGCGGGUGAAAAACCCGCACGCCGGAAGACCAAGGGUUCCUGUCCAACGUUAAUCGGGGCAGGGUGAGUCGACCCCUAAGGCGAGGCUGAAAAGCGUAGUCGAUGGGAAACAGGUUAAUAUUCCUGUACUCGGUGUUACUGCGAAGGGGGGACGGAGAAAGCUAGGUUAUCCGGGCGACGGUUGUCCCGGUUUAAGCGUGAAGGUGGAUGACUUUGGUAAAUCCGGGUCGUCAUUAACACUGAGGCGUGAUGACGAGUCACUACGGUGAUGAAGUAACCAAUGCUACGCUUCCAGGAAAAGCCUCUAAGCUCCAGGUAACAUCAAAUCGUACCCCAAACCGACACAGGUGGUCAGGUAGAGAAUACUCAGGCGCUUGAGAGAACUCGGGUGAAGGAACUAGGCAAAAUGGUGCCGUAACUUCGGGAGAAGGCACGCUGAUGGUAGGUGAAGUGACUUGCUCACGGAGCUGAAAUCAGUCGAAGAUACCAGCUGGCUGCAACUGUUUAAUAAAAACACAGCACUGUGCAAACACGAAAGUGGACGUAUACGGUGUGACGCCUGCCCGGUGCCGGAAGGUUAAUUGAUGGGGUCAGCCGCAAGGCGAAGCUCUUGAUCGAAGCCCCGGUAAACGGCGGCCGUAACUAUAACGGUCCUAAGGUAGCGAAAUUCCUUGUCGGGUAAGUUCCGACCUGCACGAAUGGCGUAAUGAUGGCCAGGCUGUCUCCACCCGAGACUCAGUGAAAUUGAACUCGCUGUGAAGAUGCAGUGUACCCGCGGCAAGACGGAAAGACCCCGUGAACCUUUACUAUAGCUUGACACUGAACCUUGAGCCUUGAUGUGUAGGAUAGGUGGGAGGCUUUGAAGCGUGGACGCCAGUCUGCGUGGAGCCAACCUUGAAAUACCACCCUUUAAUGUUUGAUGUUCUAACGUGGGCCCGUGAUCCGGGUUGCGGACAGUGUCUGGUGGGUAGUUUGACUGGGGCGGUCUCCUCCCAAAGCGUAACGGAGGAGCACGAAGGUUAGCUAAUCCUGGUCGGACAUCAGGAGGUUAGUGCAAAGGCAUAAGCUAGCUUGACUGCGAGAGUGACAGCUCGAGCAGGUGCGAAAGCAGGUCUUAGUGAUCCGGUGGUUCUGAAUGGAAGGGCCAUCGCUCAACGGAUAAAAGGUACUCCGGGGAUAACAGGCUGAUACCGCCCAAGAGUUCAUAUCGACGGCGGUGUUUGGCACCUCGAUGUCGGCUCAUCACAUCCUGGGGCUGAAGUAGGUCCCAAGGGUAUGGCUGUUCGCCAUUUAAAGUGGUACGCGAGCUGGGUUUAGAACGUCGUGAGACAGUUCGGUCCCUAUCUGCCGUGGGCGUUGGAAGAUUGAGAGGGGUUGCUCCUAGUACGAGAGGACCGGAGUGAACGCACCACUGGUGUUCGGGUUGUGAUGCCAAUUGCAUUGCCCGGUAGCUAAGUGCGGAAGAGAUAACCGCUGAAAGCAUCUAAGCGGGAAACUUGCCUCGAGAUGAGUCUUCCCUGGGCACCCAGAUGCCCCUGAAGGGCCGUUGAAGACUACGACGUAGAUAGGCUGGGUGUGUAAGCGUAGCGAUACGUUGAGCUAACCAGUACUAAUGACCCGAGAGGCUUAACCUU
rnacentral:rRNA from 2 species